AACGAACGCUGGCGGCAUGCCUAACACAUGCAAGUCGAACGAGAUCUUCGGGUCUAGUGGCGCACGGGUGCGUAACGCGUGGAAUCUGCCCUUUGGUUCGGGAUAACAGUUGGAAACGACUGCUAAUACCGGAUGAUGACGAAAGUCCAAAGAUUUAUCGCCAGAGGAUGAGCCCGCGUAGGAUUAGCUAGUUGGUGUGGUAAAGGCGCACCAAGGCGACGAUCCUUAGCUGGUCUGAGAGGAUGAUCAGCCACACUGGGACUGAGACACGGCCCAGACUCCUACGGGAGGCAGCAGUGGGGAAUAUUGGACAAUGGGCGAAAGCCUGAUCCAGCAAUGCCGCGUGAGUGAUGAAGGCCUUAGGGUUGUAAAGCUCUUUUACCCGGGAUGAUAAUGACAGUACCGGGAGAAUAAGCUCCGGCUAACUCCGUGCCAGCCGCCGCGGUAA
rnacentral:rRNA from 1 species